rnacentral:lncRNA from 1 species
UGUAAUCAAUCAUAUAUGUCUGAUUAAAGGCCAUCCAUUUACAGCAACAAAGUUAAAUCAGCUGCAAAUUUCUGCAAAUUAUGAAUACCUUAUAACAAAAUACAAUUACAAUCACAACUAACCAGCAAUACAUUCAUUAUACAAAUUGCACUACGUUAUUUUGCACAAGGAGAGUUUCCCUAACAGAAAUUUUUUCACUUCUGUCAAAAAUAUUACUAUGAUCUAAUCUUGGUAGAAUUCAAAUUUCCUAAUGAAUUUCUGCAAGAACUAGAGCAUAUCGAACCCAAAAAAUCCCAUCAAUU